rnacentral:rRNA from 1 species
GAUGAACGCUAGCUACAGGCUUAACACAUGCAAGUCGAGGGGAAACGAUAGAGAAAGCUUGCUUUUUCUAGGCGUCGACCGGCGCGCGGGUGAGUAACGCGUAUCCAACCUGCCCACCACUUGGGGAUAACCUUGCGAAAUUCAGACUAAUACCCAAUGAUAUCUCAAGGAGACAUCUGAAUGAUAUUAAAGAUUUAUCGGUGAUGGAUGGGGAUGCGUCUGAUUAGCUUGUUGGCGGGGUAACGGACCACCAAGGCGACGAUCAGUAGGGGUUCUGAGAGGAAGGUCCCCCACAUUGGAACUGAGACACGGUCCAAACUCCUACGGGAGGCAGCAGUGAGGAAUAUUGGUCAAUGGGCGAGAGCCUGAACCAGCCAAGUAGCGUGCAGGAUGACGGCCCUAUGGGUUGUAAACUGCUUUUAUAAGGGAAUAAGUGAGUCUCGUGAGGCUUUUUGCAUGUACCUUAUGAAUAAGGACCGGCUAAUUCCGUACCAGCCGCCGCAGUAA